CGUUCGUGAGAGCGAAUCCGUGCAGAAGAAAAUAACCGCCACUUUUCAGCACGCAGCCGCAAGGUUGUUGGUCAGCAAUGGCAAGUGUUGUGAGAGGUAAGGGUGAGAAGGUGGGGUAAGAGCCCACCGGUUGCCGUGGUGACACGGCAAGCCGUGCACUUCGGAAGCUGAAAGUUCAUGUAAACCGACGUUGGAGGGCGGCUCGUUCGAUUCUCUUCGGAGAAACGUCGGAGGGUAGAACGAUAGAAUGUGUCGGCGACGGCACAUCCAGAUAAAUGACGAACACUUUGCACCGCAAAGCACAAAACCCGGCUCAUCGGCCGACUGUUUCU
rnacentral:RNase_P_RNA from 1 species